UUCGCAGGGGUGGGAAAAUUACGUGCCGGUCGUGUUUGAUUCUUAAUUUCCCAGCGGUCCUUUGGAAUGCGAAAAUGGUUGCAUUUUUACGGGCUCAGUCCAAAAGAUGUUCCUGAUCCAAAGUUCGGAUUGUUUUGAUACAAUUUCCUGGUCCCCGUUGAGGGGGAAAAAAAAAAGCUGCUGGUCUCUAUGGACACUUUUAUGAGGGAAGCAUGUUCACUAAAAAGAUUGGUGGUUCCUAAUACGGGCACUUAAUUUUAAUGUGUCCCAGUUUUUGUUCGUUAAUAUCUCCGCCGUCAGUCGGAGGAGAGACUUGGGGGUGAUUGCUUUGGAAAAUUGGAUUUCUGGCAAAUUGGAUUUCUGGCGGCCGAUAUAUAAGCGUUCAAAGUCGGAUAGCCCUGUUGGUUUCUCAGAUCUGUUCCCUGAAAUUAACAUAGAGAGGCUUAUCAAUCAUACUGUUGAUUAUACAAUAGAAAGUCUUGUCAAUAUUAAGGUACACCAAUGUGAAGAUGCUACAGCCACUGUGAAUAAUGGCUUUUCUGUGUCAGUCUUCUAUCAGUAAAUUGGAGUUAUGUUUUAGCAUAAAUAAGGUCAGCAUUCGAUCAAUUUUCCAGCUUUCAUGUGGAAAUGGACAUUAGUACCUCUCUGCACAUGCCCUGGAGUACAUCAUAAUUUAUGCAUCAACACUAAAUACCAACCACAUCCUGAAAUCCAGCCAAGGGCAGUAUGGUGUUCCUGUGCCAGUCCAACUAAGCUGUCCGUGCUCGUGUGCAGGAAGUGCGAGAGGUGCAGAGAGUCGCCUGGUGGGGGUGGAGGUGGAGGUGGAGUCAGGCAAGCAGCAGGAGUUUGAGAGUAAACUGACAAGCAAUGCUGCAGCUCCACCAGGAGCAUGAAGGCCAGAUCCAGCAGUACAAGGAGCAGCUGGAGAGCACCUGUUAAUGGUAAGGUUUGGAGCAGCUGGAGAGCACCUGUUAAUGGUAAGGUUUGGAGCAGCUGGAGAGCACCUGUUAAUGGUAAGGUUUGGAGCAGCUGGAGAGCACCUGUUAAUGGUAAGGUUUGGAGCAGCUGGAGAGUAAAUGUUAAUGCUAAGGUAUGCCCAAACCCCUCUAAUUUGCAAUUGCUCAAGCAGAAAACACCUUCAGUAAACUCCCUUCUGUUUGAAGAUAACCAUCUGUUAAUUUCAUAUUUAAAAAUGGCAAAUAUGUUUAUGUAAUCAUUUUAUUGCUGUAUUUUUUUUCUUCCCAUUUUGUAUAUGAAAAUAGCUUUUUGGGUGUUUUUCCUGUAUUCCUUUACCUUCUGCAAUAUAUAUCCAAUUCAGUCUCAUAAUUUGCAUCGUUUAUGCAUUACAGUUGGACAUUGCCAAGCAGGUUGCGUUAAACAACAGUGAUUACGCCGCUUUAACCAGAAACGAACCGGAAGGUUGCCAAACUCAAGCUGGAGUCUCUGUCUGUGCAGAUCAGCCACCUGCAGAAAAAGUUGAUGCCAACCGGGUUCACACUUCAAGAAUGAUGCCACAUGAGCUGUGUGGUGGAGGCCCAGGAGCUGGAGCACACACUGGAGUGCGAGAGGGCACUGGUACACCAGAGGCUCUCGCAGAAAGAACAGGAGAUGUCUGACAUGGGGCAGCAGAUGCAGGCACAGCUGGAGGAGUAACAGUGCCUGCUGGAUGUCAAGCUCCUGCUGGACGUGGAGAUCACUGCCUACCACAAUAUGCUGGAGGGAGAAGAGCAGAAGUGAGGGGACGUCUGGAGGCAAAGUGCAGCGUUUUGUUUUAACCGCACUUGUCGCACAAAAAUACUCAACCUCUCCCCAAGUCCGUUUCAGCACGCGUAGUCGUCCCACAUCCAUACCCAGGCAGUGCGGAGAGCCAGGGACAAGAAACGGAAGCACGAAGAGGACUCGGGCUUCUCACCGAGCUACAAAGUGUCCCAGCAGUCUUCCACACGUGACUGUGUGUCUGUUGAUGAGAUCGAAGUCAAGCUUUAUAAGGCUCAGUAACAACUCCGACCUGGUACAACCUGCUCACAGGAGCCUGACUUGCUUGAGAACUUGUGCUGAAACUCGUGCGCGCUGUAGGUAUAACGGCAAAACAGCGCUCCAGUGGUUUCACGCACGUCUCACACACGUGGAGCGAUUCCAGUGGCUUUGAGGUGACGCUGGAGCUGGACCGAAGGCUUUUGAGCCGCCACACAUGGUAUUUAGUUUGACCAUUAAAGUGGUGUGAAGGGAACAACAGGGACAGUUUGAUAGGGUAAUGGUGGAGUUGUCAGACCGUUUUGUUUCAUCUUUCCAUCUUUCCUUUUGUUUUGAUCUUUUUUGUGUGUGUUUCGUGAAGUCCCAGUCUUGAAAAGUUGCCUCAGUCUUACAGUCCCAGUGUUUCUGCUGUGUCCCACAUUCUCCCCCCCACUCUGUCCCUCACACAGAGUGUAGAAGGUGUCUGGCUUUAGUCAGGGUGAAAAGUAUGUUCACUAACAGAUGUUCACCCCAACAAAAGUCCCUAUCUGGGUGGAAUUUUCCAACCAUAUAUCUUUCAUCCUGCAUCAGAAAUGAUUUCAGUUCUCAAACAAAACUGACCGACAGAUGAUUAGGAAAUGUGGAGAUAAUCAUCACAUUGUAUUGUGGGAGACAUCCCCGGAUUGUGACAUUGGGCCUGUGUUACGAGUUCUCACAGUGUUCAAUUUGCAUUUGUUUAUUUCAUGUGCAUUACAAGCUGUCCACAUAACCAGCACAUGCUGCACCUGGUUGACUGCUUUCUCCUGUUCCUGCUGAGUUCUAAACUCCUCCAGCUCCACCUUGCUCAGCAUCAGGUCCAGUGUAUGAGGGAACUCGUACUCCUUGCACUGUGGCGUGGUGCCUGGACACACUUACAUCAUUGCACUUUAAGGUUUAAAUUGAGAUGCAAUUAAACAACUGGAUGCCAGGGAGCUCAGUUCACCAGGUCCAUUUAAGACUUUUGCUUCGUGCAGUGGUUGCCCCAAAGCGGGAGAUUUCUGCAGCAUUGUCAACUGCUGCAGACAUGACUAUGUCCAUCAGGUCCAUGACCACACCCCUCACCUGUGGGCAGGUCCUGCUGCAGUUCAGUGUUGAGGAAGCUGGUGACUACGUCCACUGUCUGAGUGACGAGGGCGGACAGCUCCUCUCUAUGCUGCUGCAGGGAGGCCUGGUCUUUGCUUGUUUGCAAUUCCAUGGCCUUCAGGACCCCAUGAAGAUCCUGCUGCACUGCAGUAAUGCAGGCUGAGCCGGCUUCCGUUACAGACUGCACGCACUCCUCCAUGUGCUUCAU